rnacentral:tRNA from 2 species
GUGUCUAUAGUUUAGUGGCAAAACUUCGGUUUGUGGAACCGAUAUCGAGAGUUCGAUUCUCUCUAGACACCCCA